GCCGCGAGCCGAGCCGGUCUUCAACCUCCAAGCCGAGCCGAUCCCUGUCCUUUUUCCAGCCGAGCCGCCAAGCCUAAUUUGGCUCCUUCCACCUAAUUUUUGGGACGUCUUGGACCAAGUAACUGCUGCAGUGUGGGAUUUCUUCAGUAGGGGCUCGAGCAUUGCAACCUCUUUCUAGGUUAGGACCUCGUUGCUUGGAAAGCACACUUGCCUCGCGGUUAGAACUCGCCAAGUAAAUCUCCAGGUAGAGGACGAGGCAAGGGCAAAGGCAAGCUGGCGAGCGACCCGAAGUGACCGUGGCGAGCCAUAGAGACUCCUGCUUCCGCUUAUUCAUGUUUUUUGACUUU